rnacentral:lncRNA from 10 species
AAUGGAUAAUAAUGAAGCCCACAGAUUUUCACUCCAGAACUGACUUUGCUGCAGAGGAGUGAGGAGAGCUGCCUGGCAACGCAACGCAUCGCUGUGCAUAAACUUUGUUUACAGCCAAGGCUGGAGUAAAGGAACAGAUGGCAAGAAAAUCGGAUUUAAAGAAAGGAAGGAUGUGCUUGCAUCUGGGAGCUCGGGAGCAGAAGCCCACUCAGUUUAUCUCAAGUGUUGGAUCACCUGAGGUCAGGAGUUCAAGACCAGCCUGGCCGACAUGGUGAAACCCCGUCUCUACUAAAAAUACAAAAAUUAGCCAGGUGUGGUGAUGGCACCUGUAAUCCCAGCUACUCGGAGGCUGAGGCAGGAGAAUCUCAUGAGUCUGGGAGGUGGAAAUCUGUUGGUGGGAGAAUUCCUGGAUGUUUCCUACAAGCAGAUGGCAAUGUUCUCUUAGUCUCAUCGGAACCAGACAGAGAAGGGGACGGUGGAAAAAGGACUGAUAGAGACAAAGCACAUCUAGCCAACCAGUCACCCUCUACUUCUAAAGACUUUUGAAAACAAGAGUAUUGUCAAGAAUUAUUUAACAUUAUUAUGAUACUAUCAUUAUAAUCAAGGAGUGGGCUGUUGAGAGAUUUCAUCUUCAUUCAUUUUUUCAACAAAUGUUUGGUCA